rnacentral:rRNA from 1 species
UAGUAUAGUCACUGAUUCCUGCCCAGUGCGAGUAUCUGAAUACCGGGUUCAACCGGACGAAGGACUCGUAAACGGCGGGGGUAACUAUGACCCUCUUAAGGUAGCGUAGUACCUUGUCGCUUAAUUGGCGACUUGCAUGAAUGGAUUAACAAGAGCCCUACUGUCCCUAACACGAAUCCGUUGAACAUUUCAUCCUAGUGCAGAGACUAGGGACUCCAGAUGGGAAGUGAAGACCCCGUGGAGCUUUACUGCAGCCUGUCGCUGUGUUACGGUAUUCCUUGCGCAGCGUAGAUGGGAGGCGUCGAACCAUCCCCUCCGGGGGGUGGGGAGCCACCAAUGAGACACCAUCCUUGGUUUACUGUAACACUAACUCAAACUUGAGGACAACGGUAGGUAGGCAGUUUGGGUGGGGCGCCACACCCUCGAAAAAAUAUCAAGGGUGCCCUAUGGUCAACUCAUGUGAGUCAGAAACUCACAGGAGAGUGUCAAGAGCAUAAGUUGGCCUGACGCGAUUACGCAAAGCAAGUAAUCGCGAGAGGAAACUCGGGUCUAACGAACCAAUGAGCCUUAUUGAUGAGGGCCAUUGACGACAGAAAAGCUACCCCGGGGAUAACAGAGUCGUCGCCGGCAAGAGCACAUAUCGACCCGGCGGCUUGCUACCUCGAUGUCGGUUCUUUCCAUCCUGGCCGUGCAGCAGCGGCCAAGGGUGAGGUUGUUCGCCUAUUAAAGGGGAUCGUGAGCUGGGUUUAGACCGUCGUGAGACAGGUCGGUUACUAUCUAUCUGGAGUGUUUGGAGUCUGAAGGUAAGAUGGAAAUAGUACGAGAGGAACUUUCCGUCGUCGCCUCUGGUCGAUCGGUUGUCCGACAGGGCAAUGCCGAGCAGCUACGCGAUAAGGGAUAAAAGCUGAAAGCAUCUAAGCUUGAAGCCUGACCUGAAAAGAGACUCCGUUGAGGACAUGGGUAAAAGACCCGCUUGAUAGGUCCGGGAUGUAAGCAUGAAGGCAACGACAUGUUCAGUCCGCGGAUACUAACGUCCGAUGCCUUCCGC